AUCCCUAUCAUCAUGGAAACCGAAAAUUAUAAGUCAUUGUCUUUUAUUAACAGGUAAAAAUGGACUUUGUACCCCUAAACUACAAUAAAUAAAUAAAUAAAAUGAUGGAUCAUUUAAAACAAACCUCGAUAGUUGGUUGGGUUACAGUGACAUUUACCCAAUGUUAUUUCACUGUUUAUAAGGUCAAAUCAUAUUAACAUUUAUUUUCACUAUGGUUUGAAGAAAAACACACUUCCAUCGUUCCCAUCUCAGUCCUUUUUUGGAAACCUCAACACUCUUCUGUCGGCCCGCCCCCCUACACAGUUCUCUCUGUUAAACCGCUAAUCUUUCACUACAAGAAAUCCUCUUUCUCAUUAUUCUGAUGUCAAAUUUGAUAACAAGAAAUCCUCUCCCCACUCUCUCUCAGUCGACAUCGAGAGCCCUUCAGCCAGCCAUCCUUGCAAUCAGCGCUGGACUUCAAGGGCUAAAAGGAGCAGCUGGCAGGACUUUGGUAGAAAGAGAGAAAAAGAGAAAGACAAAGGGAAACGAUUCCUCGUUUUAUUUCAUUCUUCAUAGAUUCAUUGAAUCUCAGUUCUUAUCAACCAUCAAGUAAUACGGGGCUAUCUUCAUCUUGCACAAAUUUCCCUCAUUAUCCCUCACGACCUCUACAUACACCCCCCCCCCCCCCCCCCCCCCCUCAUAGGUCUUGGCAACAUCUUCAGGGUUCGAGUCUCACUAUUUAAGGUUAGGUCUAGAAACAGAUGAUAAGGUGUGUAUUAAUUGGUUGCAAACCUAAAACUUUUUGGGUUUAUUUUUCAAUGCCAGAUCUUAUUGUUUUCAGGUUCUUUUAAGAAAUGGGGGAAAUUGAUUGUUGUUAUGAAGAAAGUUGAUAGGUAUUACGGUUUAUCUAUUUAUUAAGUUUAGUAAUUUUCUUUCUUGUUUCUAUGACAAAAUAAAACUACAUCACUUGAUAUGUUCAUAUGUUUAUAUCACAUUUGAAACAUGGUCAAAGAUUUCUCUGGUCGUCAAGGAUGAGGUCUAUAUUUAUGUGUUGAAAGUAUUUUUACCCGAUUAAUACAUUAGACAUUCUUGGUUUA